CCUACGGGAGGCAGCAGUAGGGGAAUCUUCCACAAUGGACGAAAGUCUGAUGGAGCAACGCCGCGUGAGUGAUGAAGGUUUUCGGAUCGUAAAACUCUGUUGUAAGGGAAGAACAAGUACGAGAGGUAAUGCUCGUACCUUGACGGUACCUUGCGAGAAAGCCACGGCUAACUACGUGCCAGCAGCCGCGGUAAUACGUAGGUGGCAAGCGUUGUCCGGAAUUAUUGGGCGUAAAGCGCGCGCAGGCGGCCUUUUAAGUCUGAUGUGAAAGCCCCCGGCUCAACCGGGGAGGGUCAUUGGAAACUGGAAGGCUUGAGUACAGAAGAGAAGAGUGGAAUUCCAUGUGUAGCGGUGAAAUGCGUAGAGAUGUGGAGGAACACCAGUGGCGAAGGCGACUCUUUGGUCUGUAACUGACGCUGAGGCGCGAAAGCGUGGGGAGCAAACAGGAUUAGAUACCCUGGUAGUCCACGCCGUAAACGAUGAGUGCUAGGUNUUGGGGGGUUUCCGCCCGUCAGUGCUGAAGCUAACGCAUUAAGCNCNCGCGNGGAGACGCGCGAGNGUUGAGUAGAAGAGUAGNGNGNGNGAGNGCGAGACGACGACGAGGGAGAGG
rnacentral:rRNA from 1 species